CCCUGAAAAACUUUUAUUAUAUUUUGUAGAUUUGAUGGGUGCCUAGUGAUCAAAGCCAGGCCAAGAUUUGCAGCAAUAAGAGACAACCCCCCUGCAUCUACCUUAUAAACUUCUCUUCCAACGAGGUCAAACAAUGGUCAUGCUGUCAGAGGAAACACUGGCUGGGCAAAUGACCUCGACUUUUGCUUUGGCUGCGAUCCCCAAGAGAGACUUUGAAGAGUUUGGAGAGAGCAGACACACAGAUGUGCGUUAACCAAUAGUCUGACCUGAAGUGAACGUUUGCACGAGGGGACUCCUGAGUCAGGCGUCUUUUUGAUCUUUUCAGGAGACAGUUCAAAUUUGUCUACCUCUGUGGUCUGGGAAUCUCACCUCUGGCCUACCUGAUAGAAAGAAAUGUCUUGAGGGACUCACCUUGAAGCCAAGCCUACAGAAUUUCAACAGAUAGAACUCCACCAAACAUAAGCUCACAGUCCACAAUUACAAGACACACGGGAAACUUCUUUAUCUGGCAGAAAAUGGUAACUAAUCAAACCUGCAGCGGAAGGCAACUUUUCAACUCUCAGUCAAUUUGAUCAACAUUAAGCAUCCAUCACAUGAAGGAUUGGGAGUGAUAACCUUAAAAAAUCCUGCUAGGCUUCUAGUUAUUGAUGGUCUGCUCAGUCUGAUGGAUGAAGGGGUGAGGACAAGUCAAAGCACACACCUGGCUGCCGGCCUGCUUCGCCUUGUGCUGGGCAGGACUUGUGGCUAGAAGGCUCUAUUGUUGGUUUUACCAAAAACACACUUCCGUUGUCAUGAUCGGUCAGAAUUUGAUCCUAGCUGGAGGUCUGGCCUUCCUAGCCUUGCCUUGGGAUUUUCAGAAAAGCUCAGAGAACAAUUUACAAUAAAGCUUAAUUACUUUUA